CUUCAUGAGUAUCCUCCACCAGAACCACGUCGGAGGUCUUCAGCUGAAAACCAUGACUGAUCAGUGGGUCGGGUUUAACCCGUCGCCGACAAGAUUCGUCGUUCUCUCCGGCAUGGGUCUCACGGUGAGUCCAAAUCCAGCUAUUAUACGAUUCCAAUUUCACAAUAUAUAGUCUAAGGACUCGAUAUACUGUAUAUAACCUUAAGCAAUUGAUAUAUUUUUUGUGAUGAAGGCGUGGAGUAACGAUAGGAUAAAGCCGUGUUACCACAGGGUAGUGAUGAGCGCAGAGGAGAUUCGAUACUCUUUAGGGUUUUUCUCCUUCAACAAAGGGACGAUCCGUACGCCGGAGGAGCUCGUCGAUGCC
rnacentral:lncRNA from 1 species